rnacentral:rRNA from 1 species
CAGCAGCCGCGGGAAUACGAAGGGUGCAAGCGUUAAUCGGAAUUACUGGGCGUAAAGCGUGCGCAGGCGGUUUGUUAAGACAGAUGUGAAAUCCCCGGGCUCAACCUGGGAACUGCAUUUGUGACUGGCAAGCUAGAGUCUGGCAGGGGGGGGUGGAAUUCCGCGUGUAGCAGUGAAAUGCGUAGAUAUGCGGAGGAACACCGAUGGCGAAGGCAGCCCCCUGGGCCAACACUGACGCUCAUGCACGAAAGCGUGGGGAGCAAACAGGAUUAGAUACCCCAGUAGUCCCUGUCUCUUAUAC